rnacentral:ncRNA from 2 species
AAAUUAAAUAACUUUUAAGGUGCUUCUUUAAAAAGAAGUUAAAAGGGAAAGAGGUGAAAAUCCUCUACAGCCCCCGCUACUGUAAACAGGGAUGAAAUCUUCUAUACCACUGGGAAACUGGGAAGGUGAAGAGAGUAAGUUGAUCUGUUAGUCAGGAAACCUGCCUUAAAAUGAGAAACUAG